rnacentral:rRNA from 1 species
AAUCCAUAGGUUAAUGAGGCGAACCGGGGGAACUGAAACAUCUAAGUACCCCGAGGAAAAGAAAUCAACCGAGAUUCCCCCAGUAGCGGCGAGCGAACGGGGAGGAGCCCAGAGCCUGAAUCAGCAUGUGUGUUAGUGGAAGCGUCUGGAAAGGCGCGCGAUACAGGGUGACAGCCCCGUACACAAAAGCGCAUGUGCUGUGAGCUCGAUGAGUAGGGCGGGACACGUGGUAUCCUGUCUGAAUAUGGGGGGACCAUCCUCCAAGGCUAAAUACUCCUGACUGACCGAUAGUGAACCAGUACCGUGAGGGAAAGGCGAAAAGAACCCCGGCGAGGGGAGUGAAAAAGAACCUGAAACCGUGUACGUACAAGCAGUGGGAGCACCCUUCGGGGUGUGACUGCGUACCUUUUGUAUAAUGGGUCAGCGACUUAUAUUCUGUAGCAAGGUUAACCGUAUAGGGGAGCCGGAGGGAAACCGAGUCUUAAUUGGGCGUUAAGUUGCAGGGUAUAGACCCGAAACCCGGUGAUCUAGCCAUGGGCAGGUUGAAGGUUGGGUAACACUAACUGGAGGACCGAACCGACUAAUGUUGAAAAAUUAGCGGAUGACCUGUGGCUGGGGGUGAAAGGCCAAUCAAACCGGGAGAUAGCUGGUUCUCCCCGAAAGCUAUUUAGGUAGCGCCUCGUGAAUUCAUCUCCGGGGGUAGAGCACUGUUUCGGCUAGGGGGCCAUCCCGGCUUACCAACCCGAUGCAAACUGCGAAUACCGGAGAAUGUUAUCACGGGAGACACACGGCGGGUGCUAACGUCCGUCGUGAAGAGGGAAACAACCCAGACCGCCAGCUAAGGUCCCAAAGUCAUGGUUAAGUGGGAAACGAUGUGGGAAGGCCCAGACAGCCAGGAUGUUGGCUUAGAAGCAGCCAUCAUUUAAAGAAAGCGUAAUAGCUCACUGGUCGAGUCGGCCUGCGCGGAAGAUGUAACGGGGCUAAACCAUGCACCGAAGCUGCGGCAGCGAACGUAUCACCCAAGACAACUUUACGGAGUUGACGAUUGACGGAGCGAAGCGACGUCAAAGCGUUCAUUAAAGUCGAGUUGGCUUAGGGAUACGUUCGUUGGGUAGGGGAGCGUUCUGUAAGCCUGUGAAGGUGUGUCGUGAGGCAUGCUGGAGGUAUCAGAAGUGCGAAUGCUGACAUAAGUAACGAUAAAGCGGGUGAAAAGCCCGCUCGCCGGAAGACCAAGGGUUCCUGUCCAACGUUAAUCGGGGCAGGGUGAGUCGACCCCUAAGGCGAGGCCGAAAGGCGUAGUCGAUGGGAAACGGGUUAAUAUUCCCGUACUUGGUGUUACUGCGAAGGGGGGACGGAGAAGGCUAUGUUGGCCGGGCGACGGUUGUCCCGGUUUAAGCGUGUAGGUGUGUGUUCCAGGUAAAUCCGGUUC